rnacentral:rRNA from 1 species
GGGGAAUAUUGGACAAUGGGCGCAAGCCUGAUCCAGCAAUGCCGCGUGAGUGAKGAAGGCCUUAGGGUUGUAAAGCUCUUUCGGCGGGGAMGAUGAUGACGGUACCCGGAGAAGAAGCCCCGGCUAACUUCGUGCCAGCAGCCGCGGUAAUACGAAGGGGGCKAGCGUUGUUCGGAUUUACUGGGCGUAAAGGGCGCGCAGGCGGSUWUUUUUGUCAGGSGUGAAAWCCCCGGGCUYAACUUGGGAACUGCSCUUGAKACKGGAUGGYUAGAGAUCGGGAGAGGAGAGUGGAAUUCCCAGUGUAGAGGUGAAAUUCGUAGAUAUUGGGAAGAACACCGGUGGCGAAGGCGGCUCUCUGGACCGAUACUGACGCUGAGGCGCGAAAGCGUGGGGAGCAAACAGGAUUAGAUACCCUGGUAGUCCACGCCGUAAACGAUGUGUGCUAGACGUUGGGGAGCCUAGCUCUUCGGUGUCGCAGCUAACGCSUUAARCACACCSCCCCGGGG